UAACAAUGAAAUUAUUCUUUAUUUUGUUGGAUCAAUUAGUAGAAUAGUGCCCCUCAAGCUACAAUAUAGAGAAAACAUUUUCAUUCUCUGCGUAUUUACUACCGCACUUAUUAUCAAUGAAGCAUGGAUAAUUGGAACAUAAAAGAUGGAAAAUGUCCUGCAAACAUCGGUUCACCAUGUGAAUAUGGCAGAUAGAGCGUGGACUAUUCGGGCCCAGCAGAAUCUGUGGAAUACUGUAAAUGAAAAUAAAUAUGCAAUGAAUGAAUGAAUGCCAGAAGGGAAACUCUCAAAGGUCCAGGACACCAAAAGGUAGACAAAAUGGCAGCAGACCACGGUAUGCUAUUUCCUAAUCUAGGGGAGUCAAAUGAUAACCAAGACUAGUCUCUGCUUCAAAGUGCUCCUGAUCUACAAGAACAAAUGUUUCCUUACUUGGUAAAUCCUUUCAGAAAGAUAUGCAAAGUUGGUAAUUGGUGUUUCUCUUUUACUACGCCAUCCCACACAUUGUUUGAGGGAAGCAAUUAUGGCUUGUUCAUAUCUGGAGACACUACAAUUCUUUAUGCAGUGCUUAAGCAUGCAGUAAGUAUUUGUUGUAUUUCAAUUUAACUACUAAAAAACUUAAUAG
rnacentral:lncRNA from 1 species